CAAACUGAAUAAAUUUUGCUCCUCACAUGGACUCAAGCUUAUUAGGUUGCUCUCUUGCUAUGGUGGCACCGACCAAAAAUCGGGGAGCAUGACCCACUUUUUAGGAGUUACCAGUCAUAACAUCAAGAAACAUUUGACUUUGGCCUGAAGUCCUACUUACAAAUCUCAGGUAAAAUCUGGCUGAGAUGAACAUCAACCAAGAGGGAUCUGGAUGACGGUGGAUACGCUUCUUUUUAACCCGUUAAGGUCACACCUGAGGAGAAUCAAGUCAUCCAACAGAGAAGAAUGAGAGCUGUGGAUAUGGAUUCAUAUGAGAGAAACAAAUUCUAAUGAGGAUUUUUAACAUAUUCAUGAAAGUUAAUUCAGUUGCACGCCCCCUUACACACAUAGACUGCUGAAGAUAAACACCAACUCCACAGUGAACUGAUGGACAAGAAAGACAAGAUGGAUGGAUAGCUCAUCAAGUUAAACAUGAGAAACUUUGUUCUUCAGUCACAUUCAUUGUCAGCUUCUCUGUUAUAAAUCGUCUUUAGAUUUUAUUUAAAACAUAAAAGUAGUUUUUAUCUUUUAAUAAUACCAAGAGAAUUAUUUAUGAGUCCCUCUGAUUCAAUGUUGAUAUGAAUAGAGUCGCAAAGUUUAUGAACCUCUGCAAACAGUUUAUUGAGGCAGCUGAAAACUAAAUGGUCAACACAGAUUUGGAAAAUGAUAAUACUGUACAGAAAGUUUUUAAGCUGUAAAAUUUGACAGUGAUGGAAUUAAUCCAAUCCAUCCAAUGAUGAUUUAUUAAAAAAGUCAUUAAAGUGGAACUACUUUCAUAUUUGGAAUAAUUAAACUGUAUUGAUGAAAAUAGUUCAUGGUAAAUGUUUACAGUUCAACCCACAGUUGGAUAAAUGAAAUAUGGCAAAACCCAGCUCCAUUCAACUGACCAUUAAAAGUUUUAUAUUCUCAGUGCUUUAUGUUUUACUCCCAAGUCUUAUUUGGACCUUUUGUUCUAGUCUGUAGAGAAGGAAUCAUGAACUAUCUUCUAUGUAUAAAAACGGAACUGCAUUGCGUCAUGACGAACAUGAGACCGCUGUAGACUACGACUAAUGAGCUAAGCAUUUAGCCAGUCACAGCCUGGAUAGAAUAUUUACCCAUCAUAUUUUCAAGGUUAUCUCAGUCUUGUUUUAGAUUAAUAUUGAUCACUGACCUUGUUCAUUUUGAAUUGCUCCAGGCAAAAAGCCUAACUCUGCCCAAUCCUAAGUACAUUGUUAUUUUAAUGCAAUAACUUUCUCAUAAAAAUCUGUUAUUCAAUCAAUAUACCAAAACAGCAAGGAUUUACUUUAUGUUGCUAGUGAAGACCACUUGUUAGUUGUGAGCUACAACCUUGUUGCCAUAGUAACAUCAAAAGAGUAAUGGGACAGCAGUGCACAAAGCAUUUUCUAUUGUUUUAUGGUGUCACAAUAACUCCACUGUUAUUCUAAGGUACACUAGGAGUUCUAUAACUUAACUAAUUCUUAAUCAUAUUGAGUUACUUUAACACAAUUGUUUUAUGUCCUA